UGCGUGCUGAGGUGCAGAAACUGCAGAUG
rnacentral:piRNA from 1 species